GACAGAGGUGGCAAGCGUUGCUCGGAAUCACUGGGCUUAAAGGGUGCGUAGGCGUCCCUCCAAGCAUCCUGUGAAAUCCCUCGGCUCAACCGAGGAAUGGCAGGAUGGACUGUGGGGAUUGAGGCACGUAAGGGUCAGAGGAACUCUGGGUGGAGCGGUGAAAUGCGUAGAUAUCCAGGGGAACGCCGGUGGCGAAGGCGUCUGACUGGGCGUGUUCUGACGCUGAGGCACGAAAGCGUGGGGAGCAAACGGG
rnacentral:rRNA from 1 species